rnacentral:rRNA from 1 species
UGGGGAAUAUUGGACAAUGGGGGGAACCCUGAUCCAGCCAUGCCGCGUGUGUGAAGAAGGCCUUUUGGUUGUAAAGCACUUUAAGCGAGGAGGAGGCUACCGAGAUUAAUACUCUUGGAUAGUGGACGUUACUCGCAGAAUAAGCACCGGCUAACUCUGUACCAGCAGCCGCGGUAAUACAGAGGGUGCAAGCGUUAAUCGGAUUUACUGGGCGUAAAGCGCGCGUAGGUGGCCAAUUAAGUCAAAUGUGAAAUCCCCGAGCUUAACUUGGGAAUUGCAUUCGAUACUGGUUGGCUAGAGUAUGGGAGAGGAUGGUAGAAUUCCAGGUGUAGCGGUGAAAUGCGUAGAGAUCUGGAGGAAUACCGAUGGCGAAGGCAGCCAUCUGGCCUAAUACUGACACUGAGGUGCGAAAGCAUGGGGAGCAAACA